rnacentral:rRNA from 1 species
UACGGCGGUCAUAGCGUAGGGGAAACGCCCGGUCCCAUUCCGAACCCGGAAGCUAAGCCCUCCAGCGCCGAUGGUACUGCACGGGAGACUGUGUGGGAGAGUAGGACGCCGCCGGAA